UACGUAGGCAGCGAGCGUUGUUCGGAGUUACUGGGCGUAAAGGGUGUGUAGGCGGUUCUCUAAGUUUGGUGUGAAAUCUCCCGGCUCAACCGGGAGGGUGCGCCGAAAACUGGAGGGCUAGAGUGCGGGAAGGGAGAGUAGAAUUCCUGGUGUAGCGGUGAAAUGCGUAGAUAACAGGAGGAAUACCGGUGGUGUAGACGGCUCUCUGGACCGCGACUGACGCUGAGACACGAAAGCGUGGGUAGCAAACAGG
rnacentral:rRNA from 1 species